GUAACGUUCAGGCUGAGGCCUUAAAAACCCAAGCAUGAGUCUCCUGUCACUUUUCCCUGCCACAACAACCAAGGAGCUGCGUACUCUGGGCAGUGAAGCUGCAGGGUGCUAGCGCUUCCCUCGGCCUUAACUGUCAAGUACCAGCAAGGGGAACUGCCUUGAAAGUCUCCUGGCACCAUAGUGAAUAUGGUGUGAGCAAAACAUAAACCUUUAUAUUAUCAGGACACAGAUAUGUUGGGUCUGUUUGAUACCACAGUAUAAUCUAGCCUAUUCUAAUUCACAUAUCUAAAAAGAAUGAAACUUAUUUUGAGAAUUAAAUGAGAAAAUACGUGAUAAGCUCCUAACACAGUAAGUAACACAUGAUGGGUAUUUUAGCAUGUCAGUUCAUCACCUUAGCAUAAAAAAAGGAAUAAUAUUUACCUCACAGAAUUGCUUUCAAAAUUAAAAGAAAUAACACACAUGAAAAAUUUUACCACAUAUAAACGAGGUAAUAAAGAUGAGAGGUUUUAUUCCUUCUUUCCUCUGAACUGCGAUCAGAGGUGAUUCAGAGAGUCUUUUUCCUCCCAUCAGAACUCCUCUUCCUCUACAUUCAAAGCUUCCGAGUCCCUGGGAAGCUAACAGACUGAGCUUAUUUGAAAGUUCCAGAAAAAUAUCAUAUUUUCUACUUAAGACAUAAAAUGCAUGACAGAAAUGAUAUUAGUUUAAAAGAUUUACCAAUCUUGACAAUAACGCAAUGAAUUCAUUUCAGAAUUACUCUAAAUUAGUCACUAUUUCCUUACGUGUAAAGAAAACGUAGUUCACCUUCUUUUUACUGUUGAUAUUAAAGGCCCAUAAAUGCCAUCUUUCAGGGCUUUUGUCCCACCAAGAGAAUUAUGUAAGAAGUGACUAGACCUGUGUCAUCUGUAAACUCAAUAACAUAAAAAGCUGAAGUAUAAUUGGAUCCUCUGGACAUAAAUGAAUAUGAGUAAGGGACAAUCAGGAGAAAUAUCUUCUUUAAGAGAAUCCAGACAUUUGGGUGCCAACAGUCACUACAUCGUUUCACAGGAUUUGUUCCAGAGAGAGUCCAUCGAGAAUAUAUUGUGAGCUCUCAAUCAACAGACUAGUACAACUCAUCUGUUUUCUCAUUGAAAAACUAGUCACGUGUGUCUUUGUAAUGUAAGCCACAGGAUCGAUGGCCCAUCUGUUACAUGCCCAGGUCACACAGUCUAACAGUGGAGUGCUGGUGUCAAUGGAAUCUGGCUCUUCAGCCAGACAGAGGCUCCGGAAUCUUUGGCAUUCUUCUGUUACUGUCCUUCACUGAAAGGCUCCCGGCAAUGGCCAACAUGCCCACUGCAGCACAGAAAAAGGAGAAUGGCAUGGAUUCUGCUGCUCUCCCUCUCCUCAGAAGAAGUUAAGCAUUGCUGCCUCGGAGUCUGGGUGUUUGAGGACCUCACACAAGAUCUCCUCACCUGGUCUGCUAACCUUAAUGCACCUGUUAAAACCAGUAGCAUUAGAUGUCAUCAAAGUAAAAAGAAAAAUUACAAAGAAAAAUAAAGUGUAAGAAUAUAUACGUAAUAGUAUUUAAUAGUGCAUUGUUUUAUGUACAAAGUAAUACACUUUUUAGAACGUGAAAGCCCUUCUAUUAGCAUCACUGCCUGUCGUUUCUUUGUCUCAGGAUUUGUGAUUUAAGUGUUGAGCUAAAAAACUACAGCCAUGAAUUCAAAGCCCUGAUGUGGUCUGUCUCAGACCUCCCUAGCAGCAUUCUUUAACUGUAAAAUGGGAAGAACAAUUCUAUUGACACAUCAAAAAAUUAAAAGGAUUAUGGACAAUUAAAUUCUAAAGUAAAUGGUAACAAUUACAAGGCAGUAGACAUUACUAAAUACGAAGAUUAAUUUUAAUGAGAUCAUUAUGUUAUCAGUUACCUGGAUUUUAUUAUUUAACCAAGUGGGGCGGGGAGAAUGAAUUUUCCAUAUGAAUCCUGGGUUAUUCCUAUAAUACUCAAUAGAUUUAUCAAAAUAAUAAAAUAAAGAUAUACAAAUAUGCCCCAUCUUAUACAUUUUGUUUCUUGUUUAAAUGUAACAAGAGUUUAAUGAACAUUGUUUGAUGUGCUGUUGGGAAUCAGAUAGAAGCAUUAGGAAAGUGUCCCUGCCUCCAAUGACCUUAAGGCCUUGGGGAAAUAACAGACACACACAACUUAUCCCUAUCUUUUAUCCUCAAAUCUUCUGCCUCUAGACCAAAAA